GCAAACUUGGUCAUUUAGAGGAAGUAAAAGUCGUAACAAGGUCUCCGUAGGUGAACCUGCGGAGGGAUCAUUACCGAGUUCAUGCCCCCUUGUGGGGUAGAUCUCCCACCCUUUGUGUAUCUUAACCUUUUGUUGCUUUGGCAGGCCGCUGGGCUGCAAGCCUGGCCACCGGCUCCCUGGAGCUGGCGCGCGCCUGCCAGAGGACCUCCAAACUCAUGUUUGUCAGUGUCGUCUGAGUAUCAUUGCAAAUCGUUAAAACUUUCAACAACGGAUCUCUUGGUUCUGGCAUCGAUGAAGAACGCAGC
rnacentral:misc_RNA from 1 species